CUUGCUAUCAGUGGAUAUAGGGGGUGCCGAGCCCGGGUUGUGACUGGAUGCCCUAAUAGCAGAGGAGAUAGAGUGGGACAGGGUGUCCGACAUCGCCCCCAGGGCGGUAAAAAUGGCCUGUGUAACAGACCUACUCAUCGUGGCAUCCAGGAGCGCCUGGAACUCCUCUGAGUUCACAUGCUCCUGGGAUGCGUCCCCAACUCCCCCAGUGACAGCAGCGUCUGUAGACAGGGCUGUCUUAUCACGUUUGCUGGGUUUAGUAGAGGUGGGAGGGGGGGUAACUGUCUGUUUAUCAGCAGGGGACUGCAUAGUGAUCAGGAAUGUGCACAGUAACAGUUGAGGGAGAAAGGCACUGAAAUAAAACUGUCACUAUUGGACAAAAUGCACACUGGCAGCACUGCAGAGGUUAAUAUACCAGCAAUAUAGGGCAAGUGGCUGAGCACCAGACUAAAAGUAAAGGCAGGCACAGUUAUACAAGGCACAAGUAUUUUGGCACAUAUAAUAUGGCAGCUUACCGAGUG